rnacentral:rRNA from 1 species
UACAUGUGGGGCAAGCGUUGUUCGGAAUUACUGGGCAUAAAGGGUGCGUAGGUGGUUUGUUAAGUCACGGGUGAAAGUUUUCGGCCCAACCGGAAAAUUGCCCGUGAUACUGGCGAACUUGAGUGCGUGAGGGGUAACCGGAACGAGCAGUGUAGCGGUGAAAUGCGUAGAUAUUGCUCGGAAGGCCAGAGGCGAAGGCGGGUUACUGGUGCGCAACUGACACUGAGGCACGAAAGCGUGGGGAGCAAACCGG